rnacentral:rRNA from 1 species
AUUGAACGCUGGCGGCAUGCCUUACACAUGCAAGUCGAACGGCAGCACGGGUGCUUGCACCUGGUGGCGAGUGGCGAACGGGUGAGUAAUACAUCGGAACGUACCUUAUCGUGGGGGAUAACGCAGCGAAAGCUGUGCUAAUAACGCAUACGCCCUGAGGGGGAAAGCGGGGGAUCGCGAGACCUCGCGCGAUUAGAGCGGCCGAUGCCUGAUUAGCUUGUUGGUGGGGUAAAAGCCCACCAAGGCGACGAUCAGUAGCUGGCAUGAGAGGUCGAUCAGACAACCUGGGACUGAGACACGAGACGGACACGUACGGGAGGCAGCAGGGGGGAAUUUUGGACGAUGGGGGCAUGCUUGAUCCAGCAAGGCUGCGUGAGUGAAGAAGGCGUUUGGGUUGUAAAGCUCUUUUGUCAGGGAAGAAACAACGGCUCUAACACAGUCAGUGAAUGACGGUACCUGAAGAAUAAGCACCGGCUAACGACGUGCCAGCCGCCGCAGUAA